UGGGGGAUUUUCCGCAAUGGGCGAACCNCUGACGGAGCAAUGCCGCGUGGAGGAAGAAAGCCCAUGGGUUGUAAACUCCUUUUAUCAGAGAAGAAACAAUGACGGUAUCUGAAGAAUAAGCAUCGGCUAACUCUGUGCCAGCAGCCGCGGUAAGACAGGGGAUGCAAGCGUUAUCCGGAAUGAUUGGGCGUAAAGCGUCUGUAGGUUGCUUUUUAAGUCCAUCGUCAAAUCCCAGGGCUUAACCCUGGACAGGCGAUGGAUACUACUAGGCUAGAGUACGGUAGGGGCAGGGGGAAUUUCCGGUGGAGCGGUGAAAUGCGUAGAUAUCGGAAAGAACACCAAUGGCGAAGGCACUCUGCUGGGCCGAAACUGACACUGAGAGACGAAAGCUAGGGGAGCGAAUGGGAUUAGAUACCCCAGUAGUCCUAGCCGUAAACGAUGGAUACUAAGCGCUGCGCGUAUUAACCCGUGCAGUGCUGUAGCUAACGCGUUAAGUAUCCCGCCUGGGGAGUACGCUCGCAAGAGUG
rnacentral:rRNA from 1 species